GUACUGAUGAAGAGUCCCAAACUAGGACGGAACAGCUGUUCUGUAC
rnacentral:hammerhead_ribozyme from 1 species